rnacentral:rRNA from 1 species
CCUACGGGUGGCAGCAGUGGGGAAUAUUGCACAAUGGGGGAAACCCUGAUGCAGCGACGCCGCGUGAGUGAAGAAGUAUUUCGGUAUGUAAAGCUCUAUCAGCAGGGAAGAAAAUGACGGUACCUGACUAAGAAGCCCCGGCUAACUACGUGCCAGCAGCCGCGGUAAUACGUAGGGGGCAAGCGUGAUCCGGAUUUACUGGGUGUAAGGGGAGCGUAGACGGCCAGACAAGUCAGAAGUGAAAGCCCAGGGCCAAACCCUGGUACUGCUUUUGAAACUGCCGGGCUGGAGUGCAGGAGAGGUAAGCGGAAUUCCUAGUGUAGCGGUGAAAUGCGUAGAUAUUAGGAGGAACACCAGUGGCGAAGGCGGCUUACUGGACUGUAACUGACGUUGAGGCUCGAAAGCGUGGGGAGCAAACAGGAUUAGAUACCCCAGUAGUC